UACAGAGGGUGCGAACGUUGUUCGGAAUUACUGGGCGUAAAGGGUUCGUAGGUGGCUUGCUAAGUCAGACGUGAAAUCCCUCAGCUUAACUGGGGAACUGCGUCUGAGACUGGCAAGCUUGAGUGCAGGAGAGGAAUGCGGAAUUCCAGGUGUAGCGGUGAAAUGCGUAGAUAUCUGGAGGAACACCGGUGGCGAAGGCGGCGUUCUGGACUGCAACUGACACUGAGGAACGAAAGCCAGGGGAGCAAACGGG
rnacentral:rRNA from 1 species